AUGGAAUAAUUUUAGGCGGUUAGUUUAAUUCUACUUUAUCUUUUAAAAGCAUGUUAUUUAGAACUUUAGUAUAACUACCAUUGCUAUUUUAUAGUUGUUAUAGAUCAUAAGCAUUUGCAUUGCUUCAUAUUGUUUUGUGAUUUUAGUGAGAUUUUGGCCGUUGGAUCAGUGUGAUUGAGUGUGGAGAUUUCAUAUGGGGAUAUAAUUUGUAAUCAUGGAAUGUGGUCUACUGCAAAUGUCAUGUGCUUUGGAGUUAUAGUGUUGUUAGAUUUUUUUGAGGGGCAUGUGUUGUUCCGUUUGCUGUUUGCUGCAUAAAGUAGUUCAUUUUUUUUCUCUCCAUAAUAUUAGUAUAAAGUAUCAACCGUUGCUUAACAAUGAUUAAUCUGCAUUGAAAAACAUGUAGGGCGUAUAAGGUAGGUUCUCCCUUCGUAUCAAAUUUUUUCAUACGCAUAAGCUAUGAAUUAAACACUGAUCAUAUAUUUAAUUAGUCUAAAUUUCUUACCACUUGGACCAAUCAUUGUUGGUAAGCAAUGCAAUCUUUAACUUUCUUAAUUUUAUGCAUUCAAUGUUAUUUUGUUUGGUGGUGACAUUCAAUGUUAUUUAAACAAAACCCAUAAAUUUCACUUAUAUAUUCCACUUCUUUCAUCUCAAACUUGUAACCUUGCACUCACUUCCAAUUUUCUUUCACUCAUUCCCUUACUCACAAACAAAACCGUAAUUGUUUUUUCUUCAUUUAUUUUACUCAAUUAUUUCUCAUCGACUCUUUCAACUCUAUCAUAUUCAACUUCAUCUAUCAUUUAUCUCCCUCUCACCAGUCUUACAAAUUUAUACCCAUGUGGUAUUUUUCUUAAACCUUUUUUCUCAAGUAUGGAGGAGCCUCACGACAAAGAGAACACAACACCGUUGGAGGCAAGUGUGCAAUGACCGUCAAGGUUGCAACCUUGGGCAUGGGUGGAAUCGGUAAACAGCUUGUUUGGAAACAACAUCCUUGAGAGGAUAUAUGCAAGUGUACUCGGCUUCUCGUUUUACAUGGAAAUGACACAUGCUUAAAUACUAACCCUGCAAGGAGAAAGAAGAGGGUUGAAGAUGGUGCAGACAAAAUGUGUUUGGGAGUCUCACUAUGAUGCUCAGGUUAAGAAGAAUUUUCAUUACCGAGCUCAACACCGUUUUUCAGAUAUGAUGUUAACAUUAAGAUGAAAACAUGCUAAAAAGCCUGAAUGGAUAUUCCAAAGUGGAUAGCAGCUCAACACAUUUGAUUUACCUUUGUUUAUUGGUUCCUAGUAUGUGAUACUCCAAAUAAUAUACUUUGUUUGUGUAUAUUUCAGUAGGACCAAAUGAUUAAUAUUCCUUAAGUAUAUUUCUGUUUGUUGGGUCAAAGGCUUAUCGUGUUGUACUGCCAAAUUCAUGUAGUACGAAUCCCAUCCGUGUAAUUUUUUGAAAAAUGUUGCUUGAUUGAACUUGAAUUUAAA